UGAAGUUACAAAAUGAAAAUCGAUUUUUUCGAAUAUAUCGAAAACUGUUAGAGAUUUUUUAUUGAAAAUGGAUAUGUGGCAUUCUUACGGCAGGAGCAUUGUAGCGUUUACUUUACACUACCCCUCAAAAUUUUCUUGGCUACGCCUAUGAUAUAUGGAUCGGUACCAUCGGAUCGAAGCGCCGAUCGUUGACCGUAUCCGAGAAGCAAUUCAGUCUGGGUUCUACGACUGAGCGAACAACAUCGCUUUGAAUUUUAAGGUGGCAUCUGAGUUUAAAUAAAGAACACGUGGAAGCAAAUAAAUUAAUAUGUCCACAGGAAUAUAACAUCAAUAUCAGUUACAGCAACAUUGGAAGUCUUGAGUAAAUACCAAAAAGGAAAUAGCAACAAAUUUAAAUUUAAGUUUCAACCAGUAAUGCCGGUCAUUAUAAAACUCAGAUAGCCACCUUAAUUAUGGGACCAUCUCCUACUUUGGAGUACCCAAUUUUGCAUUGUUUUUGAAAGACAAAACCAUUACUUGAUUCCACAGCUACCAAUAUAGCAACUGUUUUGGCUACUAUCUCACAUCAAUCCAUCAGCUUUGUAUGUGGCAGUUCAUUACCUUCUGAUCGAUGAUCAUCUUAAGAGGACUUCAUUGGACAACAGUGUGUUUUUGAAAAGAUAAGGCUAUAUUUUUUUUAUUGUUACUUAAAUUCCUAAUAACUUUGGAUUUUUGUGUACUUUUUGUAAACUGCUCUAUAUCGAUAUAAACCAGGUACAUUUUAUAGUUCUUUGUAAAAUAGGGGGGUUUGUUUUUCUCUUUAAGAGAGUUGUAUUUCAAGUAAAAGGUAAAUAAGUAAUGGUCAAUAAUAAUUCUAAAUAAAUUCAGGCAUAAAAUUUAAUAAGAAAGUAAAUACAUUAUUACAAGGAUUUUCACAUUUAAAUAUUAUUCAAUUUAUAUAUAUAUGUCAUUGAACCCGACUCAUUUCAAUAAAUUUCAGAUAUUUCCCAGCAUCUAUAGUGUAAGCGUAGUUCUUCCAUAUAGAUCUGGUAUGUAAGAUUUGGACACUUGAUAGUCCAGUUAGAUAUUAAGUACUAACAAUAUUAUUAAGACGUUGGCUAUUCUCACGGACUCAAUGCUACAUUUCUACUAAUACCUUUUUGCUUAGCGCAGUAGUGGUUUUUUUUUGUAUUUACUAGUGGCUUUUCGGUCGUAUUUUAUCUCAACACCCUACUGUUUUCAUGGUUUCUAUUUACCUAAUAUGUAAAUAAAGUAUGUAUACUUUUACUUACUUUAUAGAUUUAUUUAACAGAUAUUGUUUAAUAUAAAUAAAUUAUCAAUAUAUUUGUCAUUCAUA